CAUUACCAUCCUCCAUCAAUCAAUGGGAAAAUUUGGUUGACUUAACGUGUACAGGCUGUAAAGGUUUGACAUUGCUUCCUUUGACAGGUUUGUCCCGCUUACAGCGUAUGACAUUAGAUGAUUGUGGUAUAAUAGAAAUUCCCCAGAGUCUUGGGCUUUUAGUCUCAUUGACAUCCUUAAGUUUAACUGAAAACAAUUUUGAGAGCAUACCUGCAAGCAUUAAACAACUAUCUGAGUUGAUACAGCUUUACUUAUUUGGUUGCAAGAG
rnacentral:misc_RNA from 1 species